GGGAGGUAGUGACAAUAAAUAACAAUACGGGGUUCUUCGAAUCUCGUAAUUGGAAUGAGUACAAUUUAAAUCUCUUAACGAGGAACAAUUGGAGGGCAAGUCUGGUGCCAGCAGCCGCGGUAAUUCCAGCUCCAAUAGCGUAUAUUAAAGUUGUUGCAGUUAAAAAAGCUCGUAGUUGAAUUUCGGGAUUAGCAGGUUGGUCGUACCAAUGGUAUGUACUGGCUCGCUGAUUCCUCCUUCUUGUAGAACCGUAAUGCCAUUAAUUUAGUGUUGCGGGGAAACAGGACUGUUACUUUGAAAAAAUUAGAGUGUUUAAAGCAGGCCAACGCCUGAAUACAUUAGCAUGGAAUAAUGAAAUAGGACGUUCGAACCUAUUUUGUUGGUUUCUAGGAUUGACGUAAUGAUUAAUAGGGAUAGUUGGG
rnacentral:rRNA from 1 species